UACGGAGGGUGCAAGCGUUAUCCGGAUUUACUUGGUUUAAAGGGUGCGUAGGUGGAUUAGUAAGUCAGUGGUGAAGUCUCCGGGCUUAACCCGGAAACUGCCAUUGAUACUAUUAGUCUUGAAUAUCCUGGAGGUGAGCGGAAUAUGUCAUGUAGCGGUGAAAUGCUUAGAUAUGACAUAGAACACCAAUUGCGAAGGCAGCUCACUACGGGAUUAUUGACACUGAGGCACGAAAGCGUGUGGAUCAAACAGU
rnacentral:rRNA from 1 species